rnacentral:rRNA from 1 species
UACAGAGGUCUCAAGCGUUUGUUCGGAUUCAUUGGGCGUAAAGGGUGCGUAGGCGGCGCCGUAAGUCGGGUGUGAAAUUUCGGAGCUUAACUCCGAAACUGCAUUCGAUACUGCGGUGCUUGAGGACUGGAGAGGAGACUGGAAUUCAUGGUGUAGCAGUGAAAUGCGUAGAGAUCAUGAGGAAGACCAGUGGCGAAGGCGGGUCUCUGGACAGUUCCUGACACUGAGACACGAAGGCCAGGGGAGCAAACGGGG